CAAGUCAUCAUGGCCCUUAUGACCAGGGCUACACACGUACUACAAUGGUCGGUACAGAGGGUUGCCAACCCGCGAGGGGGAGCUAAUCCCAGAAAGCCGAUCGUAGUCCGGAUUGGAGUCUGCAACUCGACUCCAUGAAGUCGGAAUCGCUAGUAAUCGCGGAUCAGCACUUGUCGCGGUGAAUACGUUCCCGGGCCUUGUACACACCG
rnacentral:rRNA from 1 species